rnacentral:lncRNA from 1 species
GAUGGACAUCAGAAAUAGAUGGAGAGGUUGAGGGUAGAGGAAGGACAUCAGUAAUAGAUGGGAGAGGCUGAGGGUAGAGGAAGGACAUCAGUAAUAGAUGGGAGAGGUUGAGGGUAGAGGAAGGACAUCAGUAAUAGAUGGAGAGGUUGAGGGUAGAGGAAGGACAUCAGUAAUAGAUGGAGAGGUUGAGGGUAGAGGAAGGACAUCAGUAAUAGAUGGGAGAGGUUGAGGGUAGAGGAAGGACAUCAGUAAUAGAUGGGAGAGGUUGAGGGUAGAGGAAGGACAUCAGUAAUAGAUGGGAGAGGUUGAGGGUAGAGGAAGGACAUCAGUAAUAGAUGGGAGAGGUUGAGGGUAGAGGAAGGACAGGAGUAAUAGAUGGGAGAGGUUGAGGGUAGAGGAAGGACUUCAGAAAUAGAUGGGAGAG